rnacentral:rRNA from 1 species
AUUGAACGCUGGCGGCAUGCCUUACACAUGCAAAUCGAACGGUAACGGGCCUUCGGGUGCCGACGAGUGGCGAACGGGUGAGUAAUACAUCGGAACGUGCCCGAUCGUGGGGGAUAACGAGGCGAAAGCUUUGCUAAUACCGCAUACGAUCUACGGAUGAAAGCAGGGGACCGCAAGGCCUUGCGCGGACGGAGCGGCCGAUGGCAGAUUAGGUAGUUGGUGGGAUAAAAGCUUACCAAGCCGACGAUCUGUGGCUGGUCUGAGAGGAUGAUCAGCCACACUGGGACUGAGACACGGCCCAGACUCCUUCGGGAGGCAGCAGUGGGGAAUUUUGGACAAUGGGCGCAAGCCUGAUCCAGCCAUGCCGCGUGCAGGAUGAAGGCCUUCGGGUUGUAAACUGAUUUUGUACGGAACGAAAAGCCUUCUUUUAAUACAGGAGGGUCAUGACGGUACCGUAAGAAUAAGCACCGGCUAACUACGUG